rnacentral:rRNA from 1 species
CCUACGGGAGGCAGCAGUGAGGAAUAUUGGUCAAUGGGCGUGAGCCUGAACCAGCCAAGUAGCGUGAAGGAUGACUGCCCUACGGGUUGUAAACUUCUUUUAUAAAGGAAUAAAGUGAGGCACGUGUGCCUUUUUGCAUGUACUCUAUGAAUAAGCAUCGGCUAACUCCGUGCCAGCAGCCGCGGUAAUACGGAGGAUCCGAGCGUUAUCCGGAUUUAUUGGGUUUAAAGGGAGCGUAGGUUGGUUGUUAAGUCAGUUGUGAAAGUUUGCGGCUCAACCGUAAAAUUGCCAUUGAAACUGGAAGUCUUGAGUGCGGUUGAGGUAGGCGGAAUUCGUGGUGUAGCGGUGAAAUGCAUAGAUAUCACGCAGAACUCCGAUUGCGAAGGCAGCUUACUAAGCUGCCACUGACAUUGAUGCUCGAAAGUGUGGGUAUCAAACAGGAUUAGAUACCCCAGUAGUC